UCGGGAAUUUUGGGCAAUGGGCGAAAGCCUGACCCAGCAACGCCGCGUGAAGGAUGAAGUAUUUCGGUAUGUAAACUUCGAAAGAAUAGGAAGAAUAAAUGACGGUACUAUUUAUAAGGUCCGGCUAACUACGUGCCAGCAGCCGCGGUAAUACGUAGGGACCAAGCGUUGUUCGGAUUUACUGGGCGUAAAGGGCGCGUAGGCGGCGUGGUAAGUCAUCUGUGAAAUCUCCGAGCUUAACUCGGAACGGUCAGAUGAUACUGCUGUGCUAGAGUACAGAAAGGGCAAUCGGAAUUCUUGGUGUAGCGGUGAAAUGCGUAGAUAUCAAGAGGAACACCUGAGGCGAAGGCGGGUUGCUAGGCUGAUACUGACGCUGAGGCGCGAAAGCUAGGGUAGCAAACGGGAUUAGAUACCCUGGUAGUCCCUGAGCGGGCUGGCAAGGCG
rnacentral:rRNA from 1 species